AUGGAUCCAAUAGUCAACCAGGGGUGGACCUCAUCCGAGGUAGAGGAGGCAUGCUCACUCAUUGCUAGGCUCAACACCAACAAAAUCAUGUACGACGAUAACGAUGACAAGAACAAGAAGCAUAACUACAUCGUGAAUUCUCUCCAUGCAUUGUUUCCUUCAAAUACCAUGAAACAGGUAACAGAUCUUUAUAUUAAUCUCGCCGUGGAAAUGCAUAUGAUCCAACGGAGGGAGGGAACCCAUGUUACUAGUGGUAGCCCGCAAAACAUUUUCACCUUGUGUGACCCUGUCAACGGUAACUAUGAGCUACCGAAGGAGGAGAAUGGUGCUAGCAGCACACACAGUAUCUACACCAUGGGCGACCAUGCGAAUGAAAACUUCGGUGUACGAGACGAGGCAACAAUCAUGGACAAUAAUGGAUUGUCCUUUGGUUGUGCAAUGGAGGAUACAGGGAUCACAGUGACGGGUGAGGCACCGCUGAUGGCAGACACCAACAAGAUGGAGGUGUUGGAGAACAAUAUUUCCAUAGAUCAACCAGUUGUUGCCCCACAUCAAUGGGGUUUUUGGAUCGACGAGGAACACAUCAUGGGUAGCCUUGUUAAUGAAAACUUUGAGGUACAAGAGGACGAGGAUACGACCAUGAUUGAUAAUGGAUUUUCAUUUCGUUGCGCAUUGGAGGAUACAAGAAUCAGGAAGAUGGAGGAGGCUCCGAUGAUGGUAGACAAGAACAAGGUGGUGGUCUUGGAGAACAAUACUUCCACUGAUCGACCAGUUGUUGCCGCACAUCAACGAAAGUAUUGGACCAAAGAGGAACACAAGUCAUUUCUUUAUGGGCUGGAAGUCUAUGGCCGUGGCGACUCGAAAAACAUAUCUAAGCACUUCGUCACCACUAAGACCCCUGUUCAAGUUUCAAGCCAUGCACAAAAGUUUUUGAAGAGAAUACAGAAAAAGGGAUCGUCAGGGACAAAGCGUUACAGCAUCAAUGAUGUCAGGCUCCAUGACAAUGAGCUAUUGGCAGCAAAUAAUAGUUCUGCCCCUCGGCAAACCCUUUCUUUCACCGGCCUCAAUAAUGACCCAAGCUUUAGGUUGCAGGCUCCGACGAGCUCGUUCGCAGUCAUGAACAACCUAACUCAGUGCUCCCCUUCCAUAUAUAAUCAACAAGUGGGUCAGCAGCCAAUGCGGUGUGAGCAGCAGAUGAUGAGUUCUGUUGCAGCUGUAAUGGACGGGGUUGGAAACUAUGUGCCAGCUGAUGGCCAGCAAGGGUCAGCUUAUUUUUAUCUUGGCAAUGUAUGA
rnacentral:rRNA from 1 species